rnacentral:rRNA from 1 species
UACGGAGGGUGGCAAGCGUUAUCCGGAUUCACUGGGUUAAAGGGUGCGUAGGCGGAUAGGUAAGUCCGUGGUGAAAUCCUGCAGCUUAACUGCAGAACUGCCGUGGAGUACUAUCUAUCUUGAAUAUCGUGGAGGUUAGCGGAAUAUGUCAUGUAGCGGAUGAAAUGCUUAGAUAUGACAUAGAACACCCAUGCGAAGGCAGCUAACGUACGCGAUCAUUGACGCUGAUGCACGAAAGCGUGGGGAUCAAACAGG